rnacentral:tRNA from 1 species
GAGGGUACAGCUCAGUGGUAGAGCACAUGUUUAGCAUGCAGGAGGUCCUGGGUUCAAUCCUGAGUACCUCCU